rnacentral:misc_RNA from 1 species
AAGGAAAGGUCCCCCCAAGAAAGAAAAAAGGCUUAAUUUUCUUUCAUAUUUUCUAUCACUUUCUAUAGAAGAACUAGAAAAAGAAUAUGGCUAUGAAUAUUACUCACCAGAUCGGAGCUCUCGCGGGAACUCCAAUCUCAACAGAACCCAUCACCACUACCACAAGUGAAUCUACGGCGACGGUCAGCGCUACUGCGGCUUGGAAAACUCCUAUGCCAAAUAUGCUGUGCAGAACUAGAAAACCAGACGUUGUGGAGCAGAAAUCUCAACCGACGAGCCCUUGCCGGUCUCCAAUACUAAACGGGAUUCGCGCAGAUCUGUCGGUAGCUUGCCGUGCUUUUGCGUUAGAGGCGACGACAUUGGAGACGGCAACGGAAGGGGCGGAAGAGAGGAUGUAUAGAGAAGUUUCCGCGAAGGAGAAAGGGAGAGGGGUGCCGGUGUACGUGAUGAUGCCGUUGGACAGCGUGACGAUGGGCAACACCGUGAACCGGAGGAAGGCGAUGAACGCCAGCUUGCAGGCGUUGAAGAGCGCAGGAGUUGAAGGGAUCAUGGUGGACGUAUGGUGGGGAUUGGUUGAGAGA